rnacentral:tRNA from 1 species
AGGGAUAGAUCUCAGUGGCAGAGGGCUUGUCUACCAAGCAUGAGGCCCUGGGUUCAAUCCCCAGUACCAAUA